GUUGUCUAGAAAAAAUAGAGAUAGAGACAUGUAAUACACAGGGGCAUCAUUGUUUAUUAUCAACUUUUGAAGGACAUUGGAAACUGUAGGUAGCAUCCCUCUCACAUACCUCACAUAACACUGUAGAGUUCAAGAAAGCUAAGACAUGUCUAGCAAUGGGGUGAGUACUUUUGCUUAAAAUUCUCCCAUGUUAGUGGGAUGCCUUGGUUCCUGCUUGGAAGGGGGGAUCGGUGAGGAAGAAGCACCCCGCAGGACACGGUUCCCGCUUGGAAGGGGGGGUGGGGGACGGACAGAGCACACCGCAGGGCAGGUUUCCCGCUUGGAAGGGGGGGUGGGGGACGGACAGAGCACACCGCAGGGCAGGUUUCCCGCUUGGAAGGGGGGGUGGGGGACGGACAGAGCACACCGCAGGGCAGGUUUCCCGCUUGGAAGGGGGGAUCGGUGAGGAAGAAGCACCCCGCAGGGCAGGUUUCCCGCUUGGAAGGGGGGGUGGGGGACGGACAGAGCACACCGCAGGGCAGGUUUCCCGCUUGGAAGGGGGGAUCGGUGAGGAAGAAGCACCCCGCAGGACACGGUUCCCGCUUGGAAGGGGGGGUGGGGGACGGACAGAGCACACCGCAGGGCAGGUUUCAC